rnacentral:RNase_P_RNA from 2 species
CGAAGGGGAACAGAUGGUCGCUCCUCCUGAUAUCUCGCAGAGCGGGAGAUCGGGGAGGGGAGGAAAGUCCGAGCUCCACAGGGCAGGGUGGUCCGUAACACGGACUGCCCCCCGUGAAAUGGGCAUCGCCGCCAUUUCACGGGGGAAAAGGAAAGUGCCACAGAAAACAUACCGCCCUGUGAAGGUGGCUUUGCCGCCACUUCACAGGGUAAGGGUGAAAAGGUGAGGUAAGAGCUUACCAGUACCCUGAGCGAUUGGGGUAGCUUGGUAAACCCCAUCCGGAGCAAGACCAAAUAGGUUCCGCUUUCCCCCUAUGGAAUAGGCUUAGCCGCCGUUCCACAGGGGGGAUAAGAAUUGCCCAUUCAAAUUUGUCUCGAGGCAAUUGCAGCGAGAUAAAGGCGGGACGGGUAAGGUCGCUUGAGACCCUGAGCAAUCAGGGCCCUAGAUAAAUGGCCAUCCUCCUGAUUUUCGCUGAAAGGCGGGAAUGGGAUGACAGAACUCGGCUUACAGUCCUCUUCGAAUA